UUUUUAGGAUGAGGUGCUAAAUGCCAGAGCCUGCAGUUUCUGGCCUCAGAGGAACAAAAAAGGCAGAACUACAGUAGCAAUGUAACUUAGACAAAGGAUGGCUGAUUUUACCUCGCUACAAAGAAAUAACAAGCAUGUCACCCUGGCCCUUGAAGGCUUCCUGAUUGAUUGUCAUUUUGGUCGCUAAAGAUGGAUGAGUUUUCCAGGUUGGAGUGGAUGUCCCCCAGACUCUUCAUAUCUAAGCCUGAUCCUAAUUAUCCUACAGUCUUUACUGAUGUGCCUCAAGAAGAAUCAGCAAGACAGAAGACACCACCAGGGCUCGAACCCAGCAUUUAUGCAAAUGCAUAUAUAAUAAAAUAUGUAUAUACAUAAAAUACUACACACACACACACACACA